CGAAAGUCUGAUGGAGCAAUGCCGCGUGAGUGAAGAAGGGUUUCGGCUCGUAAAACUCUGUUGUUAAAGAAGAACACCUUUGAGAGUAACUGUUCAAGGGUUGACGGUAUUUAACCAGAAAGCCACGGCUAACUACGUGCCAGCAGCCGCGGUAAUACGUAGGUGGCAAGCGUUGUCCGGAUUUAUUGGGCGUAAAGCGAGCGCAGGCGGUUUUUUAAGUCUGAUGUGAAAGCCUUCGGCUUAACCGGAGAAGUGCAUCGGAAACUGGGAGACUUGAGUGCAGAAGAGGGCAGUGGAACUCCAUGUGUAGCGGUGGAAUGCGUAGAUAUAUGGAAGAACACCAGUGGCGAAGGCGGCUGUCUAGUCUGUAACUGACGCUGAGGCUCGAAAGCAUGGGUAGCGAACAGGAUUAGAUACCCUGGUAG
rnacentral:rRNA from 1 species